UAUCUCCGAGACCUGUCACGGAUCAUCAGUUUUCAGUCAAACACACAACAAAUUAGAGUGUGACGAGGGGACUCAGAUCUGUAUAUUAGAGGUCAAGUUUUACCAAUGGGAUCCGACUGACAAAAUUUGUCCUUUUCAAAUAUCAGGCCGAGUGCUUGACCGAUGUUGCCGACGUAAUACAAGCCGAUGUAGCUGGGUUAGAAAUACAAACGAUGACCGCCAUGAGUUACAGGAAAACUGUACUGGUGUAAGUGAGUGUGAUCUCCAUUCCCUUAGUCCGGAACUAGUAGCUGACACGUGUGUACGUCCCGGUGGCAUAUCCACAGUCAGCAGCGUGAGAUCGAUCACAUACACAUGCAUUUCUUCCGGGACUUGCCCCCAACUUGUAACAACAACAGCAUCAGCAGGUUCGCCAGGAGGAUCAACAGAAUCGCCUUCAAUAAAGACAUCCACAACGACAUACCAACCCACCGUGACGUCAUACGAGACCACGCUGCCAAAUAAUAGCCUCUCUUUGGAAAAUACAACUCGUGAUAUCCCUCAUUUAAAAGAGGAACUAAAUGGUACGCUAAAAAGACCCAGUUAAAUAGGGGCAGUGUCGUCGUACCAUGCAGAUCGCAAAAUGUUUAAUACUAGAUCCUCCUGUUGGUAAUAAAACAAUUACCAAC